UUUCAACCCGUUUAAUUAAAUGGGUCGACCUGACCCAACCCGUUUAAUCAAAUGGGUUGGGUCAGGUUGAAAAGUCCAACCUGAUUUUGACCCACCUAACCCAUUUAUAAAAAAUAAGCUAAAAAAAUUCCCAGCUCAUUUCAGAUUUUAGCCCAAAAGAAUUUGGGCCUAAACCAUAAGGUAAUAAGGUUAAAACCCUAGCACUAUUUAAAAAGAAAUUUUGCUGAUUUCCACCUAAAUGAAACAAUGAAAAACCAAAAACGGCACAAACCCUAAUGGCCUCAUCUCAUUUGACAAAAGUCACAAAACUUCCGUUCACUCUCUCACUCCUCUAACGGCUCUACAGAAUUCUCCUGUUCUUCACUUCUUCUUCUGGUCUUCUUCACAAAACUUCCGUUCUACUGUUCUUCAAGUCUUCUUCUAGUCUUCUUCGAGUCUUCAUUUAGUUCAAUCAUGGAAGAUGCUGCCAUGAAAUUCAAGAACACUGUCGAAAUAUCUGAAGAAGAUGAACCCAUGGUUGAGCCCUCGCAAAAGAAGGCCGAGAAAGCAAUGAAACCCAAGAUUUCUGUUGGAGUCCUCUACUGAAUUAGUCAUUACAAGUUUGGUUUUUGAACAUUGUGUUGUUGAUGAUGUUAAUUUUGAACAUCACAAAAUUGUAAUGAUGUUAAUUUUGAACAUGUGUUGAUUUUGAACAAUAUUAUCCUAUGGUUAUGUAAUGGUUUAAUUUUAAUUUGAUGCC